rnacentral:rRNA from 1 species
GAUGAACGCUAGCGGCAGGCCUAACACAUGCAAGUCGAGGGGUAGUGUUAGCUUGCUAACUUGAGACCGGCGCACGCGUGCGUAACGCGUACGCAAUCUACCUUAUACAGAGGGAUAGCCCGAAGAAAUUCGGAUUAAUACACCAUAGUAUAUUGAGGAGGCAUCGCCUUAAUAUUAAAACUCCGGUGGUAAAAGAUGAGCAUGCGUGACAUUAGCUAGUUGGUGAGGUAACGGCUCACCAAGGCAACGAUGUCUAGGGGAUCUGAGAGGAUUAACCCCCACACUGGUACUGAGACGCGGACCAGACUCCUACGGGAGGCAGCAGUAAGGAAUAUUGGACAAUGGUCGCAAGACUGAUCCAGCCAUGCCGCGUGAAGGAUGAAGGCCCUAUGGGUUGUAAACUUCUUUUGUAUGGGAAAAAACCCCUCUACGUGUAGAGGGCUGAUUGUACCAUAAGAAUAAGGAUCGGCUAACUCCGUGCCAGCCGCCGCAGUAACAC